CAGUCGCCACGGUAAUACGUAGGGUGCAAGCGUUAAUCGGAAUUACUGGGCGUAAAGCGUGCGCAGGCGGUUUUGUAAGACAGAGGUGAAAUCCCCGGGCUCAACCUGGGAACUGCCUUUGUGACUGCAAGGCUAGAGUACGGCAGAGGGGGAUGGAAUUCCGCGUGUAGCAGUGAAAUGCGUAGAUAUGCGGAGGAACACCGAUGGCGAAGGCAAUCCCCUGGGCCUGUACUGACGCUCAUGCACGAAAGCGUGGGGAGCAAACAGGAUUAGAUACCCGGGUAGUCCCUGUCUCUUAUAC
rnacentral:rRNA from 1 species